UAAACCCAAAAGAGAGGGUAGCAUCUGACAUUUCAUACCCUCAGAAUAAGAUGUCAGCAUGGCAGUGAAAACUUCCCAGAAAACUAGCAUUUGUUUCCUUAUUGCUUGUUUGUGUUUGAGGUGGUGCAGAUGGAACCCAAGGCUUUUUCGAAAAUGUCAGGCAAGUGUUCUGCCACUGAGCGACAGGCAGAACCCAAUUGUAUAAGCAUCUUAACUUUCCCUUGCCUGCACUGUGUGCAUGGGCAGCCUUUGAAAUGUAUUAUCUCCUUGUCUUUCCUUGUGACACCCUCAGCCCUUUAAUCAGACCUCUCCCGACCACAGAUGCUUCAACUUGCAUUUUCCCUGUCUGUUGUCAGUUCUUAUUUAUUCUGAGACAGGUACAUCCCUCACUGUAGCUGCGUUCAGAGGGAAUCACCAUCUUCUUACCUCGUGUGGGCCAGAGCGGUGACCGAGAAAGCAGGCAGGGUCUCUCAUGGACCAGAAGCAGCUCAGCUACAGUAAGCUAGGCUUGCUGAACAGUACGCCUCUGAGAUUGGCCUGUUUUUGCCAUACAACAUUUCUGGGAUUAUAGACACAUGUGUAUUGUGUAUUCUGGUAUGGAACUCAGGUCUCCAUGGUGGCAAGGGAUUCACUAGAAACCAGCACACAAAGAGGAAGACAGCGUCUGAUGCCUAACAGAAACUCGGUUGGCAACAUCUUUGAAGACAGAACUCCUUGAGAAGGAAUCCAGCUUCUUGGGGUCACCCCUCUGUCCAUGAUGGAGCUUGAGAGGCCCCCAUCUUGUGUGGCUACCCAUAGCUGCCUUGUGUUCCUGGCCACCAUCCUAGUUUUCUUCUCACUUUCUGUGAUAAAGGCUCCUUGAAAUCUCCUAGAAGUUGGUCUCCUUUGUUCUCUCUUGGAAGUAUGGCUGUUGAGUUCCAAGGAGCCUUUCUUCUCUCUCACAGGCCUAACUGGACCCCACCUUCUACACUAUAAGAAAGCAAGCUGAGCAAGCCACAUGAGCAAGCCUUUAAAUAGAACCCUUCCAUGGUGACCUCAUUAGAUCCUGCCUAUAGAUUUCUGCUCUGUUUGAGUUCCUGUCUUGACUUCACUCAAGCUAUGGAACUGGGAACUGAAAUAAGCCCUUUCCUUCCCAAGCUGCUUUGCUUUUAGUGUUGGAUCACAGAAAUAAAAGUCCUCACUUAGUGUGGGACCCCAGACUAUGUAAUUCUGUCACCCACAAUAAGGGUGAGACUUCUCAUCUUGAUUGACCUAAUAUAGAAACUCUCAGAUAUGUCUAGAUAUUUGACUCCUAGGUGACUGUAGACCCUGUCACAUUGAUAAUCACGACAUAUGGCUUCUGUUGGAUAAUAACCCCAUUACUGUUUGCAAGGGUACCACAGAGUUGGGAGAUCUAGUCCCAGCACAACUGCAUUGGGAAACACAGCCCAAGUUUCCAUGCUUCUGAGCACUUGGAUUUCUGUAAUGACUAGGUGACACAUUUCUGUGAAACCUUGCUACCUCCACGGCACUUUGUGCUCAGUUCUGUGUUGGUCACUCCCAGUUGGGGAGACAGGAAGACACAGGGAAGGGUCCUGGUGACAUUGGGGAUAUGUGGCAUAUUCAGCAGAUGGUGUAGAUUGGUUUGUAGGUAGUAAGAACUGUCUGGGUGUCUAUGGGCAUGCAGUACAUACAGUAAGAGUAGUACCUGCAGGUGGUAUUCUGUGAAUGGAGCCAAGUCCUUCUGACUCCCCCCUUUCCUCCUCUUCUUCCUCUUUUACCUCCUCCUCCUCUCUCCUACUCUGGUUCUUCUUCUUCCUCUUUCCUUUUAAGGAAGACGGGUAAUGUGGAGUAAACAUGAAGAAACACCUUUCUUAGGUAUUACAGGAACUGGAACCUAUAGGAGGAGGAUGGGCCACCUGUUCUUUAAAGUUGGGAAAGCCCCACCAGCUGGCUAUUACACAUUUGGCCUU
rnacentral:sRNA from 1 species